rnacentral:lncRNA from 1 species
GAGAAAACAUCAGCAUCUCUCAUCAGCUUGGUGCGUCUGCAAGCACUCACCAGGAAGCUCGAAAAACGUUAGGAGGGUAGGACAGGAUUUAAAGACCAUUCACCCUAGACUACAUCAUCCCUCCACCCCAAUCACAGGAAGGAUAUACAUUAUGAUAUGUUCUAAGAGAAGAAAAGAUCCAUACAAUAAAACCACCAAAAUUUUCAGACAAUGUGGAAACUAGAUCUUUUUCUUUUCUGAAGUACAAAAAAGUAAUUUCUAGAAAAAAAAACCACACAUGGCUGACUAGAGCAGCAUCGUGUCCUGGGAAGAGCAGCAGGGACUGAUGCAGAGUGAAAUCAACAGAAUCAGGAGAAAAAUUAUAUGUGGACAACAGCAAGAUAAAUACAACUUUGAAUACAUUCAGAAUUCUGAUUAAUGCAGUGUCCAAUCAGCAUUCCAGAAGAAUAAUGAUGAAGCACGCUGCCUACAUUCUAACAAAGAGGUGAUGGACUUAA